AAAAUACCUUCUAAUCCUGCACCACUACAAACUUGUGCUGUAAGCAUUCAGACAGCUGCUACAUAGAACACACUGAGAGGUUCAGCCAUUUUCAGGUCCUGAGUGUGUACUGUGGUACUGUGUACCUUUGCUACUCUGAGCAGUUCUGGCUGAGAAUUUCUGGAUGCAUCAUGAUGGAAUGCAAGCAGUGGAAGCAUAUCAUUUCUCUUCAGAUAAAUCGUUCCUCAACUUCAAACUCCACUGCUUCCUCACUGCAACUAAAAGCUUAGAAGAGGUAAUCAGCUUGUGGUUUCAAGUGUUGCAUUUUUGGGGUAAUUUCACUUCUCUCUGUUUCAGUGCAGGUCAUUCAAUGGACAUUUCUUGUAAGUUUUUUAUCAUGGUGUUUCUAGUGCUCUAUGCAGCCCCUCACCAAUUUAACUUUAUUAGGAGGAUUUUGAAGGCAAA